AAAGUACUCCCUCCGUCCCAAAAUUCUUGUCUUAGAUUUGUCUAGAUAUGGAUGUAUCAAGUCACAUUUUAGUAUUAGAUACAUCCAUAUCUAUACAAAUCUAAGACAAGAAAUUUGGGACAGAGGGAGUAGUUG
rnacentral:pre_miRNA from 1 species